UUCCCAGUAGCUGUAAUAUUUCUUUUUCAUACCUAAUUAAAAGUAUUGAGAACUUUAUUGAAUUUGAUUAUAUGAAGAUUUUGUUUGAGAAUUAAGGAGGAGGGUAUUUGAGGAAUUAAGGGAGAAUUUGCAUAUGCAGCAAGGGAUAUGAGUUUCAACAUUAAUGAGAGGAAAGAAUACCCCUUGGAUUUUUUUAAAAAAGUAAAAAACAGAAGAGUCCUCGUGGGACAAGCCACAAUCAACGUGUAUUGUCAAACGUGGAGGCUUUCGUUUUUCAAGGAGGUAAGAUUAAUUUAAUUAAGAACAUAAAAUCAGAAAGAAAAAGAAGAAAGCCUGAAGCAAUGGGGGUUACUGUACGCAAGGAUUAAACUUAAAAACGACACGCUUCCUUUCUCUAUCCACCAAUUCUUUUCUUAUUUCAGCAAGUUUCUUUCUCUGGUCGACGUAUCUUAACCGUCUGUUUUUUGUUUGUUGUUCAAUUGAGGAUAUGUAGAUUGUUCCGUUUGAUCCUCUGUCCUUGGAUCAUGUAUGGGUGUUUUUGACAUGUACUUAUUUCAUUCAUAAUAAAGUACUUUCCAUUAUUAGUGCUUUAUUUUUCAAUCCAAACCUUGGUUUUCUACCUGGAUCAAUCAAUUUGAAUCUAGGUACCUGCAUUCUUCAUAAUCUGAAAGAAGUACCAAAAUCUAGUGUUUCAGAUUGUUAUAGUUAAAGUUUUGUAUGAAAUUCGUUUAUUGAGUGGAAAGAGCUAUUGGAAGUAUGGAUGCAAAUGAAGAUGGUUUGUUAGAUCUUUGACUUGGUGUGUGGAUUCUGGAAAGCUUUCAAUCCUAGACAUUGAGGGUUGAAGAAUAAAGCUAUGCACUAUCUAGAGAGAGUUAAGCUACUACUACCAGCCGAGGAGGCUGCUGAUAGACUUGCAGGUAGUAUGCUUGCUUUUAAAUAAAGCUCGGGAGUGAUAAUAACCAGAGUAUUCAAUUUUUAGCUGUUCCUUAUGAUCCACAAUCCAUGUUUGUUAUUAUUAUUACAAUUAUUAUUAAGAAUUGAAGCUGCAAAGCGGGGGAAAGAGAAAGAAAGCCUUACCUGGAGCUGCUACUUAAAGACGAAGACGAUGGUGAUGGAGGGCUGGCUAACCAAUGUUACUUUCUUAAAAGAUGCUGGAUACAGACGUGACAUCUUCCCUUCAUAAUCAACUCAACUAGAUGUCGGGAUUUGCCAUUAAUGGCAAUGACUUGUGCAACCUAUCCUAAGAAGAGAGGGUUGCCAUUGUCAAUGGUAGUUGCACCAACCAUUGACAAAAUGGUGCAACCCAUGUGCAGCCAUCUUUGUUGAAGAAGAGCUGGAGCUGUGGCACCAUUGUUGCCUAUAAAAAGGCACCGAGAGAGAGAGAGCAAAGAGAAGAGGGUGGUGAGAAUGUGAAGAGAAGAGAGAAAGAGGGGUUGCCAUUGCAGCAGCUGCAAGUGCAGCAAGAGAGCUUAGAGUUGAGUUUGAGUGAAGUGAUCCUCCUCCUCCAUGUAUUGUGUUGUAAUCCUUUCUCUAUCUCUAAUAAUAUGGAACUCUCCCGUAGAUGUAGGCGGUUUUGCCGAACCACGUUAAAUAUUAUAUUCCAGUGUGCUUAA